GACGAACGCUGGCGGCGUGCUUAACACAUGCAAGUCGAACGGAAAGGCCCUGCUUUUGUGGGGUGCUCGAGUGGCGAACGGGUGAGUAACACGUGAGUAACCUGCCCUUGACUUUGGGAUAACUUCAGGAAACUGGGGCUAAUACCGGAUAGGAGCUCCUGCUGCAUGGUGGGGGUUGGAAAGUUUCGGCGGUUGGGGAUGGACUCGCGGCUUAUCAGCUUGUUGGUGGGGUAGUGGCUUACCAAGGCUUUGACGGGUAGGCGGCCUGAGAGGGUGACCGGCCACAUUGGGACUGAGAUACGGCCCAGACUCCUACGGGAGGCAGCAGUGGGGAAUAUUGCACAAUGGGCGGAAGCCUUAUGCAGCAACGCCGCGUGCGGGAUGACGGCCUUCGGGUUGUAAACCGCUUUCGCCUGUGACGAAGCGUGAGUGACGGUAAUGGGUAAAGAAGCACCGGCUAACUACGUG
rnacentral:rRNA from 1 species